rnacentral:rRNA from 1 species
UACGGGGGGGGCAAGCGUUGUUCGGAAUUACUGGGCGUAAAGGGCUCGUAGGCGGCCAACUAAGUCAGACGUGAAAUCCCUCGGCUUAACCGGGGAACUGCGUCUGAUACUGGAUGGCUUGAGAUUGGGAGAGGGAUGCGGAAUUCCAGGUGUAGCGGUGAAAUGCGUAGAUAUCUGGAGGAACACCGGUGGCGAAGGCGGCUUUCUGGGCCUUACCUGACGCUGAGGAGCGAAGGCUGGGGGAGCAAACAGG